AUUAGCACUACUAUCUGACGAUGACUUCAACGGCCAUGGUUUCGCGUUUGCCGACUUCUUCCUUCGCUGAAUCAUCGUGUCUCAAUAGAGACGUAAAGGAGCUUAGAGAAUGAGAUUUUUCUUGAAAAAAAAAAAAAAGAAGAAG